rnacentral:rRNA from 1 species
AUUGAACGCUGGCGGCAGGCCUAACACAUGCAAGUCGAGCGGGGUUUUCGGACCUAGCGGCGGACGGGUGAGUAAUGCGUAGGAAGCUGCCCGAUAGAGGGGGAUACCAGGUGGAAACGACUGCUAAUACCGCAUAAUGUCUACGGACCAAAGUGUGGGACCUUCGGGCCACAUGCUAUCGGAUGCGCCGACGGGGGAUUAGCUAGUUGGUGAGGUAAUGGCUCACCAAGGCGACGAUCUCUCGCUGGGAUGAGAGGAUGAUCAGCCACACUGGAACUGAGACACGGUCCAGACUCCUACGGGAGGCAGCAGUGGGGAAUAUUGGACAGUGGGCGCAAGCCUGAUCCAGCCAUGCCGCGUGUGUGAAGAAGGCGUUCGGGUUGUCAAGCACUUUCAGCGAGGAGGAAGGGUGGUGUGUUAAUAGCACAUCAUUUUGACGUUACUCGCAGAAGAAGCACCGGCUAACUCUGUGCCAGCCGCCGCAGUAACAC